rnacentral:lncRNA from 13 species
AUGAGUGCACUAAUCAAGAGGGUCACAAUGGUAAUGGCUAUAGCAGAUGACCUACUGGGAAAGGACAUGAUCCAAAAUGAAAUGUAUUCGAUUAUUGAUGUAGCCGAGACCAGUGAGAAAAAAAUGAGAGUUAUGUACAAGGCUCUACGCUCAGGAGGACCACUGAUUAAAUCAGCCUUCUACACAGCUCUCCAAACUAAUGAACCUAAUCUUGUCAAGGACUUGGGUAAGACCAAUAGAUACUAUUUACACCCUGUGAUUACCCUAACACAUAGUGUGCAUUGUGAUGUACAGUACACAUCAUAUAUUUUCACAUUCCUCUCCCAUUUUAAGCUUCCCCCUGAAGACUUGGGGGAUAUAACCAACUAGCUUUAUCAUCCUCUUUUGUUGUUGUGGCUUUAUGCUAACUGAAAUCUGUGCUCUUGCAAUCUGCUAUAGCCUGGUACUUUGUUUUCCUCAGAAUGUUUUGUGUGUUUUUGUUUUUAUCAAACCCAUCUUCAGUGUUCUUACUGUAUGUGUGAGGGGAAAGGGACAACCCAAAACUGGUUAAAUAUGAUGUUAGUUUAAAAAACUUGUCCAUGCAUAAAUACUUGAGGACAACAGAGGGACAAACAGGUUGAGUGGUAUGUAUGCUUGUUAAUUGAUUUAUGCAUUAUUUUAAAUAUUUGGUAUAUAAUACAAUCAUGUUAUGUGGAAAUGUUUGUCACAAUUUAUUUGACCAGAGGACAAUACCAGUGGAAACAGUGCCAUGAAGUAAUGUGCAACCCAAGAUAAAAUAUUGGUCAUGUAUGUAACAUUUUAUUUUAGAUGUGUGCUUGAUUAUACCGAUGAAUUCUGUUUAUUUCUGUUGUAGCUUAUAUUCCGAUUGUAUUAUGGUACCUGGUUUAUAUCAUCAUUCAUUCUGUUUGUUCAAAGUAAUCUCUAUAUCAUCAUUAUAUCUUCAACUAAUUUUACAUUUUAUGUUUCUGUGUUGAAUGUCUCAUUGUUUCAUUUUUUUUCCUCAAUAAAAAUAAAUGUUAAAAGUACCAUAGAAAUAAUAUAUGUCUCACAUGAAUACUACACAGGCAAUUUAAAUAUCAACAUUUAAUAUGGUGAUUCUGCAAUAAAUCCAUCAUGCAUAGGCCUAUAAACAGGAAACAUUUACAAAAUGUAUUGUAUUAAACAAACAAAUUACAACAAAAAGUCAGCAAUGACGAUCUAUAUACAACAACAACAACAACACCAGAAAUCCUUCACUGCUACAUAAGGCUAUGUAUGGUGACGUAGUGCUGCUUAAGCAGAUCAAUGAGUCAGUUAUUAAUAUACAAAUCCCCCUAGAAAAUGACUCCGGGUCAGUAUCAAAGUCUCUCCCAGAAUGACACGUUAAUUACAUGUUCGUUUUGGCUGCACUGGUUCAUGAAAAGCCCCAGAAUUGCAAGAAGAUUUGCCUGGCUAACACGCUCCUACCACAAGCUCUCCUCUCACUGUGUACCACGUGGGCCUGUGUGUCAGUCAGGCUACAAGAAGACUGCUUUGAGACAAGGAUGUUAUAGUUACUGCACACUGGAGAGUUACAUUGGUUUUCAUUGUUAAUGUUUUCUAUGUAAAUCCUCUCAUAUACACUGGCAGCUAUCAGAUAUCUCAGUCAUGUUUAUAUGUGAAAGGCAGCUACAUUUCUGUGUGUGGCAUAUUCUAAUCUAAAGGACAUAGGCUUGUCUGUCAGCGACAGCUCCAACAUGCAGGUUAACAGACCAUCUGAAACCAAAGCAUGGUUCUAUUGGUACAGUGUAAAAUAAACAUGAAAAUAGUGCUUUCAAUAGUAAAUGUUCUGUCAUUUGGCAUUGACGUUUCUCAACAAAACACAUUGAUGUAUUAAAAACAGCACACACCACACACAAACCACUUUGAAAUGUUACAGACUUCACACAGAACAGAGAUUGAGCAAAGCCUUGAAAAGUUCAGCACCAUGAGCCAGAGGGAGAGAGUCCUCUAAGCCCUUAGACAGGCUGCAUGGAGGGAGAUGGAGCACUGGAGCUCAGUGGAGAGGAGAAACCUGGAGAGAGAGAGAGACCUUUUACACAUUACAUUCACACAGAAACAGGUAAAUGAGCAAUAAACAACUUACCCUGCCAAGAUGGCUUUACAUUUCUGAGACAUACAGAGGAACCAUUGUUGUAGUAUAUUAAUUUAUUGUGUCAACAGUUAGGUCUGUAUUUUAUUGAUUAAUUUGGACAUAAAAAAGACAAUACGAAGAUGAGAAUUAAAAGACAAAAUAAAUGUACAAGUGGAGGA